rnacentral:rRNA from 1 species
CUACGGGCGGCUGCAGUUAAGUAUAAUCUACAAUGUGCGAAAGCGUGAUAGUUUGAGCCAGAGUGCUAUUCUUUUGAAUAGCUUUUAUGAAAUGUAAAAAGUUUCUUGAAUAAGGACUGGGUAAGACAGGUGCCAGCCGCCGCGGUAAUACCUGCGGUCCAAGUCGUAAUCACUUUUAUUAGGUCUAAAACAUCCGUAGCUCGCUUUGUAAGUUCCUUGUGAAAUCCGGUAUCUUAAGUAUCGGGCGGGCAGGGAAUACUGCAUAGCUAGAGACUGGAAGACGUAAGAAGUAUGUUCAAAGUAGCGGUCAAAUGUGUUAAUCUUGAGCAGACUAACAACAGCGAAGGCAUCUUACGAGGACAGUUCUGACAGUAAGGGAUGAAGGCUAGGGGCGCAAAAGGGAUUAGAUACCCCAGUAGUC